GGCACGGGGAAGGGGGCGAGCGCGGGCGGGCUGGGCCGGCUUCGGCUAGCGGGCCAGAAGUGAGGCCGCGGCCUGCUAGCGCCCCCCUUUCUUUUUUUUCUUUUUUUUUAAUUUCUUUUCUCAAUUAUUUUUUCUAAAUUCAUUUGGACUAUUACAAAACCUUUUUCAGCCUUAGUUUCCAAAAUAAAAGUUGUCACAAAUAAAAAGUUCUACAACUUUGGUUUAAGUUGAAAUCCCAAAUUCCUAAUAGAAUUUGAAAUACAGCUCAAAACUAGUUAUAGAUUUUUAAAUAAAUCCAUUUUGGGAAUUUUUGUAUUAAAUCCAUUUCUCAAUUUCUAUGGCUCCAAAAAUUUCACAAAAUUGUUCUUAAUUCUUCUAAAACAUACUUCAAUCCAUUUUGGUCAUCACAAGAAUUUUGGCAACAAGCAUACUAUUUCUAUCAUAUUUAAACCAUAAAAUUUAAGCACAUAAAAUCACACUUGGAUUAAUGCUAUGCUCAUGUGAUGCUAUGCUUUAACGAGGAUGCUUAUGAGAGGGUUUACGAGACUAAGUACAUGCUUAACACCUAGGGUGUUACAGCCCGCUCAUAGAUGUCGUGUAUAGGCGAGACGAUGGCGAUCACGUUGUAGAGAAGAAAAUAUAAUUUUAUUUUACUACCUUAGGAAUUCUCAAAUUAGAGGCUUUCCAUAUGAUAGUCUUUAGUGUACUUUGCCUAAGGGGUUGGUAUAUAUAUAUAUAUAUAUAUAUAUAUAUAUAUAUAUAUAUAUAUAUAUAUGGAGAGAAACUCCCCACCUUCACGUCAACUAGCGAUAUGAUAUUAAUUGAUCUGCAACCUUCAUCUUUACUAAUAGGCCUAAUUAAUUACUAAAGCCCAUUAGUAAAAAAACAUUUGGCCUUUGAAUCAUGAUGACGUUGGAUUUGAGUAAAAUGAAGAAAUUAUUAUUUUCGAAAUUAAUUAUUUUCAUGGAUAAAAUAAUUCUAGAAAAGUCCAGAAUUAGUAGUUAAACCACGAAAACGAAAAAUACUCCGAAAGCUUCAAAAAUUUGAGAAAAAAUCUCAGAGAUAUUAUAGAACAUGAAGAAUCCAAAUAAAGUAUUUGGAGCUUAUGAUGAUAUAAUUUGGGGCAUCUAAAAAUUAGAUUUAUGCUCAUAGAAAAGGCUAG
rnacentral:lncRNA from 1 species